rnacentral:rRNA from 1 species
GCCCUUAGAGUUUGAUCCUGGCUCAGAUUGAACGCUGGCGGCAUGCCUAACACAUGCAAGUCGAACGGUAACAGGUCUUCGGAUGCUGACGAGUGGCGGACGGGUGAGUAAAGCGUAUGAAUCUGUCUUUUAGUGGGGGACAACCCAGGGAAACUUGGGCUAAUACCGCAUUAGCCCUGAGGGGGAAAGCGGGGGAUCUUCGGACCUCGCGCUGAAAGAGGAGCCUGCGUCCGAUUAGCUAGUUGGCGGGGUAAAGGCCCACCAAGGCGACGAUCGGUAGCUGGUCUGAGAGGACGACCAGCCACACUGGGACUGAGACACGGUCCAGACUCCUACGGGAGGCAGCAGUGGGGAAUUUUUCGCAAUGGGCGCAAGCCUGACGAAGCAAUGCCGCGUGGAUGAAGAAGGCCUUCGGGUUGUAAAGUCCUUUCGUGGGGGACGAAAAGGUGGGUCCUAAUACGGUCUGCUGUUGACGUGAACCCAAGAAGAAGCACCGGCUAACUCCGUGCCAGCAGCCGCGGUAAUACGGAGGGUGCAAGCGUUAAUUGGAAUUACUGGGCGUAAAGGGCGCGUAGGCGGUUGGUUAGGUCUGCCGUGAAAUCCCCGGGCUCAACCUGGGAAUGGCGGUGGAAACCGGUUGACUAGAGUAUGGGAGAGGGUGAUGGAAUUCCAGGUGUAGCGGUGAAAUGCGUAGAGAUCUGGAGGAACAUCAGUGGCAAAGGCGGUCACCUGGCCCAAUACUGACGCUGAGGCGCGAAAGCGUGGGGAGCAAACAGGAUUAGAUACCCUGGUAGUCCACGCCCUACACGAUGAAUACUAGAUGUUUGGUGCUUAACGUGCUGAGUGUCGUAGCUAACGCGAUAAGUAUUCCGCCUGGGAAGUACGGCCGCAAGGUUAAAACUCAAAUGAAUUGACGGGGAAGGGC